rnacentral:rRNA from 1 species
GAUUUCUGACGGACCGACGUGGCCCGUUUCCGUUUCGGAGAUGAGUGCUGUGCCGAGUUUGUCAUCCUUCCAGAAAGCUGCACCUACCGUUCAUUCGGCCGGGCGUAUGUGAUCUGGAUCGAUUACUUUGAAAAAAUUAGAGUGUUUAAAGCAGGCUUACGCUAUGAAUACAUUAGCAUGGAAUAAUAAUUUAGGACUUUGGUUCUAUUUUGUUGGUUUCUAGGACUGAAGUAAUGAUUGAUAGGGAUAGUUGGGGGUGCUAGUAUUCCGCGGCCAGAGGUGAAAUUCUUGGAUUCGCGGAAGACUAACUACUGCGAAAGCAUU